rnacentral:rRNA from 1 species
GGGUGAGUAAUACAUCGGAACGUGUCCUGUAGCGGGGGAUAACCUAGCGAAAGCUAGGCUAAUACCGCAUACGUCCUAAGGGAGAAAGUGGGGGAUCGUAAGACCUCACACUAUAGGAGCGGCCGAUGCCGGAUUAGCUAGUUGGUGGGGUAAAAGCUCACCAAGCCGACGAUCAGUAGCUGGUCUGAGAGGACGAUCAGCCACACUGGAACUGAGACACGGUCCAGACUCC